GAUGAACGCUGGCGGCGUGCCUAACACAUGCAAGUCGAACGCUCAGGCGCAGCGUGUUGGGCGCUUGAGUUACGGACGGAUGAGUAACAAGUGCGUAACCUGCCCUCCUCUUUGGGUUAGCGAACGGAAAGGGAUCCGAAUACAUAACGGUCACUGAUUUUCACAGCGGGGUUGGUGAAAGGGUGACGUUUUUGCUGGGAUGGGCUCGCGGCCUAGCAGCUUGUUGGUUGGGUGAUGGCCUACCAAGGCUUUGACGGGUAGACGGCCUGAGAGGGUGACCGGUCAAAUUAGGAAUGGGACACGGCCCAGACUCCGACGGGAGGCAGGAGUGGGGAAUAUUGCGCAAUGGGCGAAAGCCGGAUGCAGCGACGCCGCGUGAGGGAUGGAGGCCUUCGGGGUGUAAACCUCUUUCGCGCAUGGUCAAGCCGCAGCUUUGGGUUGUGGUGAGGGUAGUGGGUAAAGAAGCGCCGGCUAACUACGUG
rnacentral:rRNA from 1 species